ensembl:lncRNA
UCUGUGCUCCUGCCAGGAGAACCAUUAUCCCUCACGUUUAUUGAAAACAGGUUUUAAAACUUAAGGUGUGGGGAAAAAAAAAAAAACCAACCCUAAACGGUUGGAAUGAAAUUCUCCAGACCCUAAGCUUUGUUUCACAUGAAUUGUUUGCUAUGUUUUCACAGCUCGGGAGCUCUGCUGCCACCAGCUCUGACCUCCGUGGGCAAGAGUUGCUGCCUGAAAACUUCAUUUAUUGGUGAAACUCUCCAAAAUCUUUCUGGUUUCCUCUCCCUUGGAUUGCCAACUGUCUUCUGACCAGCAAGAGGAAAUGCUUGAACACGUGAGAGGUACCAGAGCUCUGCCAGGGGCUGCCUGACCGGCAGCUGUGCCAAACCACAGCUGUUUGAUCGUGAAGUGCAAGAGAGGAGCAGCGCGGCCGCAGCGUGGGCCCUGAGAGGCAGAGUGCAUCCAUCAAGCUUGACUCGGUGAUCCGUGUUGCUUUAUGGAGGUGGUAGAGCCAGCCCACCCUCGGAGGUGAGCCCUCGCACUGAAGGAUGGCCGCAGCCAGAGCAGUGCUCCAUUGUCAUCUGUGUGGCAUCCUCAGUUCCGUGCGCUGCAAUUAAGCCAGCUGCCAAAUGAUGAUGUGGCAGAGCUGGGCGGCGUGGCCUCCUCCGAUCUGAGCCUGGACGCCGGGCAGGUUGCUCGGGCUGGAAAGGUGGAAAUCAACAAAAUCAACAGCUGCCAGCUGCUGGUGGUGGCCCAGGGGGGC